GCUUUUGACCAAACCACCUGGAAUGCACCCAAUCUCAUUAGAUUUCGGAAGCUAAGCAGGGAUGAGCCUGGAUAGUGCUUGGAAGGGCGAUCACCAUACAUACAGGGUGGCCCAAAAGUC
rnacentral:rRNA from 1 species